rnacentral:rRNA from 1 species
CAGUCGCCACGGUAAUACGUAGGGGGCGAGCGUUGUCCGAAUUUACUGGGCGUAAAGAGCAUUAAGGCGGUUUCUUAAGUGAGAGGUGAAAGGUUCAGGGCUUAACCCGAACACUGCCUUUCAUACUGGGAGACUUGAGUACGGGAGAGGCGAGUGGAAUUUCUGGUGUAGCGGUGAAAUGCGUAGAUAUCAGAAGGAACACCAGUGGCGAAGGCGACUCUCUGGUCUGUAACUGACGCUGAGGAGCGAAAGCGUGGGGAGCGAACAGGAUUAGAUACCCGCGUAGUCCCUGUCUCUUAUA